UACGGAGGGUGCGAGCGUUGUCCGGAAUCACUGGGCGUAAAGGGCGCGUAGGCGGUCUGUUAAGCGUGCGGUGAAAGCCCGGGGCUCAACCCCGGGUCUGCCGUGCGAACUGGCGGACUAGAGCACUGUAGAGGCAGGUGGAAUUCCGGGUGUAGCGGUGGAAUGCGUAGAGAUCCGGAAGAACACCGGUGGCGAAGGCGGCCUGCUGGGCAGUUGCUGACGCCGAGGCGCGACAGCGUGGGGAGCAAACAGG
rnacentral:rRNA from 1 species